GUUCACUACCGUGCAGGUAGCUAAGAAA
rnacentral:other from 1 species